UAUUAUAAAUUAAUUUUAACUGAAUAAAUACAUUAAAUUAUAUAUAAACUAUAAAUGAAAUUUCUAAAAAACGUAAUUAUUUAAUUUUCCUAAAAUUAGAUCAAAACCAGGAUUAGAUACCCUGCUAUUCUACUAUUAAAUAAUAAUUCAAAAAUUUAAAAAUAAAUAUGACGGUAUUAACCUUUACAAAGGAAUUUGUUUUUUAAUCGAAAAUACACGACUUACCUUACUUAAUAAAUAUUUGUAUACCACCGUAUUCGAAAUUAUUUAAUAAUAACAUCAUAAAAAAUAAUUUUAUAAAAUCAGGUCAAGGUGCAAUUUUAUUAAGAUAAAAUGAAUUACAUUACUUUAUAUUUAAAUAUAAAAACUGAAAAUUAUUAAAAAUAGAAUUUGUUAGUAAAAUUUAAUCAUUAUGUUAAAUUGAAAAUAUAAAUUAAUAUG
rnacentral:rRNA from 1 species